GACGAACGCUGGCGGCGUGCUUAACACAUGCAAGUCGAACGGAAAGGCCCUGCUUUUGUGGGGUGCUCGAGUGGCGAACGGGUGAGUAACACGUGAGUCACCUGCCCUUGACUUUGGGAUAACUUCAGGAAACUGGGGCUAAUACCGGAUAGGAGCUCCUGCUGCAUGGUGGGGGUUGGAAAGUUUCGGCGGUUGGGGAUGGACUCGCGGCUUAUCAGCUUGUUGGUGGGGUAGUGGCUUACCAAGGCUUUGACGGGUCGCCGGCCUGAGAGGGUGACCGGCCACAUUGGGACUGAGGUACGGCGCAGACGCCUACGGGAGGCAGCAGUGGGGAAUAUUGCACAAUGGGCGGAAGCCUGAUGCAGCAACGCCGCGUGCGGGAUGACGGCCUUCGGGUUGUAAACCGCUUGCGCCUGUGACGAAGCGUGAGUGACGGUAAUGGGUAAAGAAGCACCGGCUAACUACGUG
rnacentral:rRNA from 1 species